UCUCUAUGAGUUCGAGACCAGCCUCAUCUACAUAGUGAGACCAAGCCAGCCAAGGUGGCAUAAUGAGAUGUGUUUCAAAUGAACAAAACUCCAGGCAUUUUGAUAAAGGCCUCUCCUGCUGGCAGAUCCCAGCGUUUGUGAGGAUGAAUUCAGAGCGCCGGUGCAGAAUGCCAGGGACUGGCUUAACACUGGAGAACUCUCAGACUUCCGCUCCUGUGCAGCUAAUGUCAAGAUACCUUUGUGCCAUUGGACACACACAUGCUGGCUCCAUAUGAUGGGCCUUCGUGCUGUUCCCAUCUUUUGGCCCUUGUGAUGAGGAUUCUAACCUGCUGUACAGGGACUUUGUGUCCCCGCCUCCAGUGGCUUUGGGUUCUCUCCCAGAAGUGGAAGUUGCUGAGACAUAUGGAGAGCCAACGUUUGCCUUUUUGAGGAACCGCCAUGCCUGCCACAGACACACCAUCUUACAUUCCCACCACUAAAGUACGAAGGGUCCAACCUCAUGGAGACCUUGUCAGCGUCUAUUGUUCUCCUUUAAAAAAAAUUAAAAAGUUAAGACUGAAUCUUAAAUACA